UACGUUUCCCUGACACAAGUGUGCCUUCACAUUAGAGCGCCUCGUUGUCCGUGUUUUCAUUUACAGUAUAUAUUUUAAUUUUUUUUAAUAUAUUUAUUUUAUUCACGUUUGUCAGGGUUGUUUACAUGCUUCUCUGCGAUGUGUCAAACUUGAAGCUGUAUUUAUAUCUUCCCAGGGACUUGAAAAUGUCACCGAGGGUGACAUUUAGCCGAGGUGCCGCCUCACAUCUCCACUAAGAAUCGAGUCGGGAGAGACCUCUCGACAUCCAGCCACCCCUUGCUACUCGUUCAUCGAAUUGCUAGCGGGUGUGACUUUGAGCGUGUCUACGUAUGACACGAGAUCAGUCAGCCGGGAAACGCUUCGCGAACUUCUUUGAGAUACUAAACAUGGAGGCGGGUGCUCCAGACAGAUGUUGAAGUGUUUGGUCUGGUCGGGCUUCACGCGGCGCAGAGCCACCCGCGACUCCCCGAUGAACUCGUUGUGAGUCAGCUUGUCUUCGUCGCAGACGGACACCCUGGAAAGGACAGAGGUGACUCACUGUUAUCGUCGCUGUCGCAGCUGUCCACCUCGAUGGAGGUGUCGACGCUGCUCAUGGCGGACAGCAAGCCACCGCCGCCUCCCGCCGCCAACAAAGGCGACAACAGCCCGCCGCCGCUCACGUCUCCCGCGCGGCCCGGGCUGAGCGCCCCGGCUCCACUGGCGGUGACCCCGGCUGCUCCCGUCUGAUUGGGCGAGAGCGGCUCCGAGAAGGACGAAGUUGGCGAGAGACGGGGGAAGUAGGCGGAGAUUUGCCGGAUGGGCCGGAUCGGUCCCGGGCAGACGUCGAUGGCCAUGUGCUCCUGGAUGGUGACGGCUAAAGUUUUUCCUUUCCGCACCGUCAUUGGGAUGAAGGUCGAAAGACUGAAAGGAAAAAAGAAGAGUCAUCAACUCAAUUCAUUUUCUCCACCAAACCAAAUUCAAUGACCAUUAUUUCAUUCCAAGUCAAGCACAAGGUCACCACGAGGUCCAAAUAUAUGAUUAGAGCCUGAUUAACUGAUUUUUAUUCUUGAUCUUCUUUUCAGGACGGUGUCUGAGGCACUUUGGGCCACACGUGGGAGCGCUCGGCUCCAUAUCGCAUUCAAUGCCGCAGAUCGCAGCUGGCCCCCCGGUGGAGGCGUUGUUUCCUCCGCGCUCGAUGAAUCCCCCUCUGGACCACCUGCAGCAUCCAUCGAUUGCAAGCGAGAUGCUCGGGGUGUUAUAUCUCAGGAGUUUAGUGUGAGAGAAGAAAAAAGAAAAAAAAACCUGGUAGACUUGAAACAGAUGAGGGUCGGCGGGGUCGUUUGUCACGGAGGCGAGCGGCCUCGGCGCUGCGAGCGGCGAGCCGCGCGUGUCACAGCUCAUCCAGCCGGCGUCUCCUUGGCUGAGGAUGAAACAAUCAUCGGGGAGGCGCACGGCAACGUGCCAGCUGCCAGCCCCCAAAGCUUCUUUGACUCUUUUGACUGAGAGCGUGUUGACAAGGACGCUGGCUCUUCAUUUGUGCAGAUGGCUGUUGAUUGGUUAGCUAACAUACGUGUUGUCUCUCGUUUGCAGAUUUGCAUCCGGGAGCGGCAAAGUGUGCAACAUGUGCCAAAAAAAAAAGCUCCGACAUGGACGUCGAGGUAAAGUGAUGACCUUUAAGUUCCAACAGUCCAGGUAUGGAUGUCAGAAAGAUGUAUUUACUCUGAUGAGAAGAUAAGUGGAACUUAAGGUGCACCAAAAAGCCAGGCAACACGAAGAUUGCAUCAGUUCAUUAAUUCGCAUGCACGCUCAGACAAUGCGACUGUGUGUGUGCGCUGAUGUGAUGUGCUCAGUCAGUGGCACAUGUGGCUGUGAGCACACACUUAGCCGCAGGGCCUGAUGCUUCCCGGGAGGAGGGGGGCGGGGGGGG